UGGGGAAUAUUGCACAAUGGGCGCAAGCCUGAUGCAGCCAUGCCGCGUGUAUGAAGAAGGCCUUCGGGUUGUAAAGUACUUUCAGCGGGGAGGAAGGGAGUAAAGUUAAUACCUUUGCUCAUUGACGUUACCCGCAGAAGAAGCACCGGCUAACUCCGUGCCAGCAGCCGCGGUAAUACGGAGGGUGCAAGCGUUAAUCGGAAUUACUGGGCGUAAAGCGCACGCAGGCGGUUUGUUAAGUCAGAUGUGAAAUCCUCGGGCUCAACCUGGGAACUGCAUCUGAUACUGGCAAGCUUGAGUCUCGUAGAGGCGGGUAGAAUUCCAGGUGUAGCGGUGAAAUGCGUAGAGAUCUGGAGGAAUACCGGUGGCGAAGGCGGCCCCCUGGACGAAGACUGACGCUCAGGUGCGAAAGCGUGGGGAGCAAACAGG
rnacentral:rRNA from 1 species